rnacentral:misc_RNA from 1 species
GAUGAAGAACGCAGCGAAAUGCGAUAAGUAGUGUGAAUUGCAGAAUUCAGUGAAUCAUCGAAUCUUUGAACGCACAUUGCGCCCUUUGGUAUUCCUUAGGGCAUGCCUGUUCGAGCGUCAUUUAAACCUUCAAGCUCAGCUUGGUGUUGGGUGACUGUCCGCUUCACCGCGGACUCGCCUCAAAAUUAUUGGCGGCCGGUACAUUGGCUUCGAGCGCAGCAGAAACGCGAACUCGGGCCCGUCGUAUUGGCUCCCAGAAGCUAUCUUCACAAUUUUGACCUCGGAUCAGGUAGGGAUACCCGCUGAACUUAAGCAUAUCAAUAGGCGGAGGA